rnacentral:rRNA from 1 species
AGUCGACGGCAACACAGCAGUAGCAAUACUGUGGGUGGCGAGUGGCGGACGGGUGAGUAAUGCAUCGGGAUCUACCCAAACGUGGGGGAUAACGUAGGGAAACUUACGCUAAUACCGCAUACGUCCUAUGGGAGAAAGCGGGGGACCGAAAGGCCUCGCGCGGUUGGACGAACCGAUGUGCGAUUAGCUAGUUGGUAGGGUAAUGGCCUACCAAGGCGACGAUCGCUAGCUGGUCUGAGAGGAUGAUCAGCCACACUGGAACUGAAACACGGUCCAGACUCCUACGGGAGGCAGCAGUGGGGAAUAUUGGACAAUGGGCGCAAGCCUGAUCCAGCAAUGCCGCGUGUGUGAAGAAGCCUUCGGGUUGUAAAGCACUUUUAUCAGGAGCGAAAUACUACUGGCUAAUAACCGGUGGGGCUGACGGUACCUUGAGGAAUAAGCCCCGGCUAAAACUUCGUGCCAGCAGCCGCGGGUAAUACGAAGGGUGCAAGCGGUUAAUCCGGAAUUACUGGGCGUAAAGCGUGCGUAGGGCGGGUUAUUUAAGUCUUGUUGUGGAAAUCCCCGGGGCUCAACCUGGGGAAUUGGCAAUGGGAUACUGGAAAACCUAAAGCUAGAGUGUGAUAGAGGAUGGGUGGAAUUCCCCGGUGUAGCGGUGAAAUGCGUAGAGAUCCGGGAGGAACAUCAGUGGCGAAGGCGGCCAUCUGGAAUCAACACUGACGCUGAGGCACGAAAGCGUGGGGAGCAAACAGGAUUAGAUACCCCUGGUAGUCCACGCCCUAAACGAUGCGAACUGGAUGUUGGUCUCAACUCGGAGAUCAGUGUCGAAGCUAACGCGUUAAGUUCGCCGCCUGGGGAGUACGGUCGCAAKACUGAAACUCAAAGGAAUGCUGCAUCGGCUGUCCGUACAAGCUCGUGUCGUGAGUAUGUUGGGUUAAGUCUCCGCAACGAGCGCAACCCUUGUCCUUAGUUGCCAGCACGUAAUGGUGGGAACUCUAAGGAGACUGCCGGUGACAAACCGGAGGAAGGUGGGGAUGACGUCAAGUCAUCAUGGCCCUUACGGCCAGGGCUACACACGUACUACAAUGGUCGGUACAGAGGGUUGCAAUACCGCGAGGUGGAGCCAAUCCCAGAAAGCCGAUCCCAGUCCGGAUUGGAGUCUGCAACUCGACUCCAUGAAGUCGGAAUCGCUAGUAAUCGCAGAUCAGCUAUGCUGCGGUGAAUACGUUCCCGGGCCUUGUACACACCGCCCGUCACACCAUGGGAGUGAGUUGCUCCAGAAGCCGUUAGUCUAACCGCAAGGGGGACGACGACCACGGAGUGGUUCAUGACUGGGGKAUGAAGUCGUAACAAGGUAGCCGUAUCGGAAGGGCGGUGGGGUU